rnacentral:rRNA from 1 species
GACGAACGCUGGCGGCGUGCCUAAUACAUGCAAGUAGAACGCUGAAGGAGGAGCUUGCUUCUCUGGAUGAGUUGCGAACGGGUGAGUAACGCGUAGGUAACCUGCCUGGUAGCGGGGGAUAACUAUUGGAAACGAUAGCUAAUACCGCAUAAGAGUAGAUGUUGCAUGACAUUUGCUUAAAAGGUGCAAUUGCAUCACUACCAGAUGGACCUGCGUUGUAUUAGCUAGUUGGUGGGGUAACGGCUUACCAAGGCGACGAUACAUAGCCGACCUGAGAGGGUGAUCGGCCACACUGGGACUGAGACACGGCCCAGACUCCUACGGGAGGCAGCAGUAGGGAGUCUUCGGCAAUGGACGGAAGUCUGACCGAGCAACGCCGCGUGAGUGAAGAAGGUUUUCGGAUCGUAAAGCUCUGUUGUAAGAGAAGAACGAGUGUGAGAGUGGAAAGUUCACACUGUGACGGUAUCUUACCAGAAAGGGACGGCUAACUACGUG